rnacentral:rRNA from 1 species
GACGAACGCUGGCGGCGUGCUUAACACAUGCAAGUCGAGCGGUAAGGCCCUUUCGGGGGUACAUGAGCGGCGAACGGGUGAGUAACACGUGGGUGACCUGCCUUUAGCUCUGGGAUAAGCCUGGGAAACUGGGUCUAAUACCGGAUAUGACUCCGCGGUGCAUGCUGUGGGGUGGAAAGCCUUGUGCGGCUGGAGAUGGGCCCGCGGCCUAUCAGCUUGUUGGUGGGGUGANGGCCUACCAAGGCGACGACGGGUAGCCGGCCUGAGAGGGCGACCGGCCACACUGGGACUGAGACACGGCCCAGACUCCUACGGGAGGCAGCAGUGGGGAAUCUUGCGCAAUGGGCGAAAGCCUGACGCAGCGACGCCGCGUGAGGGAUGACGGCCUGG